rnacentral:rRNA from 1 species
AGUGAACGCUGGCGGUAGGCCUAACACAUGCAAGUCGAACGGCAGCACAGUAAGAGCUUGCUCUUACGGGUGGCGAGUGGCGGACGGGUGAGGAAUACAUCGGAAUCUACUUUUUCGUGGGGGAUAACGUAGGGAAACUUACGCUAAUACCGCAUACGACCUACGGGUGAAAGCAGGGGAUCUUCGGACCUUGCGCGAUUGAAUGAGCCGAUGUCGGAUUAGCUAGUUGGCGGGGUAAAGGCCCACCAAGGCGACGAUCCGUAGCUGGUCUGAGAGGAUGAUCAGCCACACUGGAACUGAGACACGGUCCAGAAUCCUAAGGGAGGCAGGAGUGGGGAAUAUUGGACAAUGGGCGCAAGCCUGAUCCAGCCAUAACGCGUGGGUGAAGAAGGCCUUCGGGUUGUAAAGCCCUUUUGUUGGGAAAGAAAAGCAGCAGGUUAAUACCCCGCUGUUCUGACGGUACCCAAAGAAUAAGCACCGGCUAACUUCGUG